UCAAACUUGGUCAUUUAGAGGAAGUAAAAGUCGUAACAAGGUUUCCGUAGGUGAACCUGCGGAAGGAUCAUUAUUGAAUAAAUCUGGCGUAGGUUGUAGCUGGCUCUCUGGAGCAUGUGCACGCCUCGUCACCUUUAUCUAUCCACCUGUGCACACACUGUAGUCCUGGAUACCUCUCGCCGAAAGGCGGAUGCGGAGCUUGCUGCUUGCUUGCUUUGAAUUUCCAGGUCUAUGCUUUUUAUCACACACCCCAAACGAAUGUUACAGAAUGUAGUCAUUGGGCCUUUGUGCCUAUAAACUUAAUACAACUUUCAACAACGGAUCUCUUGGCUCUCGCAUCGAUGAAGAACGCAGC
rnacentral:misc_RNA from 1 species